rnacentral:rRNA from 1 species
GACGAACGCUGGCGGCGUGCUUAACACAUGCAAGUCGAACGGAAAGGCCCUGCUUUUGUGGGGUGCUCGAGUGGCGAACGGGUGAGUAACACGUGAGUAACCUGCCCUUGACUUUGGGAUAACUUCAGGAAACUGGGGCUAAUACCGGAUAGGAGCUCCUGCUGCAUGGUGGGGGUUGGAAAGUUUCGGCGGUUGGGGAUGGACUCGCGGCUGAUCAGCUUGUUGGUGGGGUAGUGGCUUACCAAGGCUUUGACGGGUAGCCGGCCUGAGAGGGUGACCGGCCACAUUGGGACUGAGAUACGGCCCAGACUCCUACGGGAGGCAGCAGUGGGGAAUAUUGCACAAUGGGCGGAAGCCUGAUGCAGCAACGCCGCGUGCGGGAUGACGGCCUUCGGGUUGUAAACCGCUUUCGGCUGUGACGAAGCGUGAGUGACGGUAAUGGGUAAAGAAGCACCGGCUAACUACGUG